rnacentral:rRNA from 1 species
CUGGCGGCGUGCCUAACACAUGCAAGUCGAACGAGUUGUUUAUAGUAGCAAUAUUGUGAACAGCAAGUGGCGAACGGGUGAGUAACAAGUAGAUAAUUUGCCUUUCAGACGGGGACAAAUCAGGGAAACUUGUGCUAAUACCCGAUGAGACUACGGGAGGGGACUUUUGUAGCCAAAGGUGGGGGCAACCUCACGCUGAAAGAUGAGUCUGCGUCCUAUCAGCUGGUUGGUGGGGUAAAAGCCUACCAAGGCGAAGACGGGUAGCCGGCCUGAGAGGGUGAACGGCCACACUGGGACUGAGACACGGCCCAGACUCCUACGGGAGGCAGCAGUGAGGAAUUUUCCGCAAUGGGCGCAAGCCUGACGGAGCGACGCCGCGUGAGGGAUGACGGCCUUCGGGUUGUAAACCUCUUUUAUUAGGGAAAAAGGCAUAUGUGCUAAUACCACGUA